rnacentral:tRNA from 1 species
GAUGGCAUAGCUCAGUGGAUAGAGCACACCUCUCAUAAAGGUACGGUCGUGGGUUCGAGUCCCAUUGCCCCUG